UACGAAGGGGGCUAGCGUUGCUCGGAAUCACUGGGCGUAAAGGGUGCGUAGGCGGGUCUUUAAGUCAGGGGUGAAAUCCUGGAGCUCAACUCCAGAACUGCCUUUGAUACUGAGGAUCUUGAGUCCGGGAGAGGUGAGUGGAACUGCGAGUGUAGAGGUGAAAUUCGUAGAUAUUCGCAAGAACACCAGUGGCGAAGGCGGCUCACUGGCCCGGUACUGACGCUGAGGCACGAAAGCGUGGGGGAGCAAACAGG
rnacentral:rRNA from 1 species